CUCAGUCUGUUCUUUGCACACUGUAGCCACACCCUCUGACUUCCUUCUGUCCAAUACUUUAAUAUAGAUCCUUAACCCUUUACUGUGGUCUGCUCAUACUUCUCAACCAAGCCCCUGUCUACCUCAUCAUCAUCAUUCGGUCCUCAGUCACUUCAGUACUUUUCACCAUCUGACUCAUCGAGGCUCUUCAUGCUGUAAAGCAGUUCAACUUCUCCAGGAAACAGAGUCAGGCAGAGCUUAGAGUUCCGGAUGUUUAUCAGGGAGUGGUGCUUGAGUCAACACCCGUGCAAAGGACUGGGCUGAGGCAGAAUUGGGAAGAGGGAGAAAUCCAGCUGAGAUGCAAGCCAGACAGUGCCCGCCAACAGCACAGGGUGCUCAGAAACUUGAAACAGAACACAGAGUGCAUUGCUGGUGUCUGUAAACAAGGCCUUCCAGAUUAAACUCAGUUGGCUUCUCUACCAGGUCAAGUUCCCCCUACGCCAUCAUUCCAUCCUGGCAUAGCCUUUAUCAUACUUCACAGUUGCUUGGGUAUGAUCUUUUUCCUUGCAAAAAUAACCCCAAGAGGUUGUUAUGAUAAAGCUCUAGGGGGGACCUUAUCGGUUUCCAUGGCAGAGGGGGCGACCAAGUCGGAGGGACAAACAUGCCAGGUAGACUCAGCUUAGUGAG
rnacentral:lncRNA from 1 species